rnacentral:rRNA from 1 species
UACGUAGGGCGCGAGCGUUAUCCGGAAUUAUUGGGCGUAAAGAGCUCGUAGGCGGUUUGUCACGUCUGCUGUGAAAACUGGAGGCUCAACCUCCAGCCUGCAGUGGGUACGGGCAGACUAGAGUGCGGUAGGGGAGAUUGGAAUUUCUGGUGUAGCGGUGGAAUGCGCAGAUAUCAGGAGGAACACCGAUGGCGAAGGCAGAUCUCUGGGCCGUAACUGACGCUGAGGAGCGAAAGCAUGGGGAGCGAACAGG